rnacentral:rRNA from 1 species
GACGAACGCUGGCGGCGUGCCUAAUACAUGCAAGUCGAACGCAGUGGGGACGGGUGAGUAACACGUGGGUAACCUCCCAUCAGAGGGGAUAACACUUGGAAACAGGUGCUAAACCGAUACUGAUGGAUGGACCCGCGGUUCAUUAGCUAGUUGGUGAGGUAACGGCUCACCAAGGCCAUGAUGCAUAGCCCACCUGAGAGGGUGAUCGGACACACGGGGACGAGGACCAGGCCCAGACUCCGACGGGAGGCAGCAUGAGGGAAUCGUCGGGAGUGGACGAAAGUCUGACCGAGGAACGCCGCGUGAGUGAAGAAGGUUUUCGGAUCGUAGAACUCUGUUGUUAGAGAAGCGGUAUCUAACCAGAAAGCCACGGCUAACUACGUGCCAGCAGCCGCGGUAAUAC